AGGUGUUGAAGAAACUGUCGAUACUGUAGCAAGUGAGGAAGUAGCUGUCGAUAGUGUAGCAGUUGAAGGUGUAGCAGUCGAAAGUGCAGCAGUUGAAAGUGCAGCAA